AGAGUUUGAUCCUGGCUCAGGAUGAACGCUAGCGGCAGGCCUAAUACAUGCAAGUCGGACGGGAUUGGAGAGCUUGCUUUCCAUGAGAGUGGCGCACGGGUGCGUAACACGUAUGUAACCUACCCAUAUCAGGGGGAUAGCCUCUCGAAAGAGAGAUUAAGCCCGCAUAAAAUCACAGUACAGCAUUGAUAAUGAUCAAAUAUUUAUAGGAUAUGGAUGGGCAUGCGGAACAUUAGCUAGUUGGUAAGGUAACGGCUUACCAAGGCUACGAUGUUUAGGGGAUCUGAGAGGAUGACCCCCCACACUGGUACUGAGACACGGACCAGACUCCUACGGGAGGCAGCAGUAAGGAAUAUUGGUCAAUGGGCGGAAGCCUGAACCAGCCAUGCCGCGUGCAGGAAGACGGCCCUACGGGUUGUAAACUGCUUUUAUACCGGAAUAAACCUUGAUUCGUGAAUCAAGCUGAAUGUACGGUAAGAAUAAGGAUCGGCUAACUCCGUGCCAGCAGCCGCGGUAAUACGGAGGAUCCAAGCGUUAUCCGGAUUUAUUGGGUUUAAAGGGUGCGUAGGCGGCCUAUUAAGUCAGGGGUGAAAGACGGUAGCUUAACUAUCGCAGUGCCUUUGAUACUGAUGGGCUUGAAUAUACUUGAGGUAGGCGGAAUGUGACAAGUAGCGGUGAAAUGCAUAGAUAUGUCACAGAACACCAAUUGCGAAGGCAGCUUACUAAAGUAUGAUUGACGCUGAGGCACGAAAGCGUGGGGAUCAAACAGGAUUAGAUACCCUGGUAGUCCACGCCCUAAACGAUGAACACUCGAUGUUGGCGAUAUACGGUCAGCGUCUAAGCGAAAGCGUUAAGUGUU
rnacentral:rRNA from 1 species